CCCUCGCUACAACCUAAGGGGGCCCCCCAAAAUCCAAAAUCCUAAAAUCUACAAAACCCCCCCCAAAAAUUUGGGGGAACACCAAAAAAUCGGGAGGGACCCCCAAAGAAAACAGGAGGGGCCCCAAAAAUCAGAGGGACCCCAAAAAAUACAGGGCGACCCCCAAAAAUCCCCCAAAUUUUCCACCGAGGCCUUGGGACCCCCAAAUUUAUCCUGAGGGAUCAAAUUUGGGUGGAACCCCAAAAAAUUAGAAUUUUUUUUUUUUUUUUUGCCCAAAAUCCCAAAAUUUUGGUCGUUUUGGGGUUUUUUUUGAGCUGGAUUUUAAAUGGGGACGCCAAAAUUUGUCACCAGGGGUGACAAACUUUGGGAUCAUUUCCCAUCACUUUGGGAUAAUUUCCCAUCAUUUUGGGGUCAUUUCACGCAAUUUUGGGGUCGUUCCUCAUUUUGGGGUCACUCCCCAUCACUCCGGGGUGGUCCCCCACCGUUUUGGGGUCAUUUCUCAUCAUUUUGGGGUCGUUCCUGACCGCUUUGGCCUCCUUGCCACCACCCCAGUGGUCACUCCCUCAAUGUCCAGCAGGGUCCAGUGGUCACUCCCCACCACUUUGGGGUCAUUUCCCACCACUUUGGGGUCAUUUCCCACCACUUUGGGGUCAUUUCCCACCAUUUUGGGGUCGUUCUGACCACUUUGGGGGUCACUCUGUGGUCACUCUGGCCACCACCCCAGUGGUCACUCUCUCGAUGUCCAGCAGGGUCCAGCGGUCACUCCCCACCACUUUGGGGGUCACUUUGUGCCACUCUGGGGGUCACUUCGUGGUCACUCUGGGGUCACUUCGUGGUCACUCUGGUGGUCACUCCGUGGUCACUCUGGUGGUCACUUUGUGCCACUCUGGGGUCACUUUGUGGUCACUCUGGUGGUCACUCCGUGGUCACUCUGGUGGUCACUUUGUGGUCACCCUGGUGGUCACUCCGUGGUCACCUCGCCCUCCACACCCCCCCCCCUCACUCCCCUCCCUCCACCCCCGCCCCUCCCCCACCCCUGGGAGAGAACCCAGCGCCCCUCCC
rnacentral:lncRNA from 1 species